rnacentral:rRNA from 1 species
AGUGAACGCUGGCGGUAGGCCUAACACAUGCAAGUCGAACGGCAGCACAGUAAGAGCUUGCUCUUACGGGUGGCGAGUGGCGGACGGGUGAGGAAUACAUCGGAAUCUACUUUUUCGUGGGGGAUAACGUAGGGAAACUUACGCUAAUACCGCAUACGACCUACGGGUGAAAGCAGGGGAUCUUCGGACCUUGCGCGAUUGAAUGAGCCGAUGUCGGAUUAGCUAGUUGGCGGGGUAAAGGCCCACCAAGGCGACGAUCCGUAGCUGGUCUGAGAGGAUGAUCAGCCAAACUGGAACUGAGAAACGGUCCAGACUCCUACGGGAGGCAGAAGUGGGAAUAUUGGACAAUGGGCGCAAGCCUGAUCCAGCCAUACCGCGUGGGUGAAGAAGGCCUUCGGGUUGUAAAGCCCUUUUGUUGGGAAAGAAAAGCAGCAGGUUAAUACCCCGCUGUUCUGACGGUACCCAAAGAAUAAGCACCGGCUAACUUCGUG